rnacentral:lncRNA from 1 species
CUAGGGCUCACAUCUAGGUACAGGGAGCCUGGGAAAUAUGUAUUUUGUUCAGGCAUCAGUGGGUUCGUUUAAAAAUAAGUGGAGGUCUAAUAAGGAAGAACUGAUGUUAGCAAUGUCUGCCAUUCAUUGCCCCAGACCUCUUCCUCUUGUAUCUCAUAUCCUACCAGAACUGGAGGAGGAAGGAAGGAGGGCAGAAUUAGCUUAAAAUGUAAUUUAUGAAUUUCAAGAAAUACCUGUAAAGGUGAUGAUAGUUAACAACACAACUCAGGUGUCACUUUUUAGGAAGAUUUUCCUAACCACCUCUCCGCACAGUCAAGGAUGGAUGCCCUUUUUACAAGCUUUUAUCUUCCAUCUCGUGCAGUACCUAUCAUGCCAUUUAUUGAUGAUACAAUAAUUGUCUAUUUCUCUCUUCCCAACUGUUUCUCACAUCAACUUAACUAUAAUGGCUUCAGUUAAAACCUGAAUUUAUAUUUCUUUGUAUCUCCAGUAUCUCUCGCCUAAUGUAUAACAUACAUUAGAUUCACAAAAAGUGUUUAUUACUUAAAUUGGUUGAAAAAAUUGCAAACAAAAAAUCUCUACUUAAAUGUCAUAAAGGUUUUGUAAAGUAAUAGUAUAGAGAGAACUUCUCCAGCUAUCAAAAUAUUUAGCACCAAAUUUUUUGCUUAUGAACAUAAAAGAAUCUUUUAUUUCCAUCAAUAUUAAGACUAUCAUCUGAUCUUCUGAACAUGUUCAAUAUUGCUGGCAAACAGAAUUACCUGCAUUUUGUCAAUGAUGAAUGUUAAGACAAUUAUAAAUAUUUUAAAAUCAUUCUUUUAUCAAGGUUGUGAAAAAAAACUCUCAUAAAAUACUCUAAAAAAACACAAAUAGUGAAUCCUAUCCACUUUAUGUAAAUGGUAAAGUUGGGCUCAGGGUGACAAAAUUUGAAAUAGAAUAACACAUUGACUCUCCAACCAAUGUUAUCUCCUCCACAUAAUCCUAGUGGGGCAGGCCUGAAGUGGACAGCAAGACUUUCACCAAAACAGUUCCCACACAGCUCAAUCUCUCCUCUUCCCUCUGUUACCCCACAUGGCAUUGUAAAAAAAACAGAAAUUUAAGCUGAUAUGAUUCAUUUUCUCAGCCCUUUUCAGUUUAAAUCUGUUCACAUUUCUUAUUGUAGUUAUUCAUAACUUUUUCUUGAUUUUCUUAGGUCGGACACAUAUGUUCUUCAGAUCAGAAAUUCAACUGAUAAAGAUACUUCUGAAUUUACAACUGCUUGGUUUUAAGAAAAAUGUAUCCAAGACAGAGGAGUUUGUUCAAAAGUCUCCAUUUUUUCCCCUAGCACUGUACACUGUUAUUUUAUGAUUCAUUCAGUUACCAAACAUUUGUUGAAUACAAACUAUGCACAAGGCAAAUGCUAUGAUAAUGCGCAAAUUUGCAUUCGCAUUAAAUUUUCCUUAAUUUGAGCUAUAAAAUACAAUUAACUAAAGAUAUUGCAUUAUAUAUUAUUAUUUAUAUAAUCCCACAUGUAACUGGAUCAAACAUUGAAUUGGAAAUUGAGGGAAAUUGGUUAAAAUCAAAUAAGUGUGUGUGUGUAUAAUUUUCUGUUAAAAGAUAUGAAUUGUCAGAUGGGAAAAAAUUUCUUGCUUUAAGCAAGUACUGACCCAAAAUAUUAAAUAAAAAUAGUCCAUUUAGAAUCUACUUACAGAGUACUCAUGCACUGUGUAAAAUGCUAAUGAUGAGGGAGAAAAUGAGUCUCCUUCACUCUUUCACUCAUCUCUUGGGCUAAGGGCAUGAGAUCUGAUAGCCAUUGUCACUUACAGCUACACACAUCUUCAGCAAUUAUAAAUUUACACGUUUUUCCCUCCAGUUAAUGUAGCUAAAUUUUAUUUUAUCUUCUAAGUACUACACAUUACUUUUAUCAAUACUACUUUCUCUAGGAAGAAUUUGUACAUAAAUGAAGGACCAUAGGUCCCUUAAAUAUAUAUCUAUAUUAUAUAUAUAUAAUAUAUAUAAAUAUAUUUAUAUAAUGCUGAAUUCCUUCUGUCCUUCAGUGUCUUACUCAAAAUAUCUAUAAAUCCUUAGUAAUGUUUAAG